UACGUAGGGGGCAAGCGUUGUCCGGAUUCAUUGGGCGUAAAGAGCGUGUAGGCGGCCAGGCAGGUCGGUUGUGAAAACUGGAGGCUCAACCUUCAGACGUCGACCGAAACCAUCUGGCUAGAGUCCGGGAGAGGAGAGUGGAAUUCCUGGUGUAGCGGUGAAAUGCGCAGAUAUCAGGAAGAACACCCGUGGCGAAAGCGGCUCUCUGGAACGGUACUGACGCUGAGACGCGAAAGCGUGGGGAGCGAGCAGG
rnacentral:rRNA from 1 species